UAGGGAAUCUUCCACAAUGGACGCAAGUCUGAUGGAGCAACGCCGCGUGAGUGAAGAAGGUCUUCGGAUCGUAAAGCUCUGUUGUUGGUGAAGAAGGAUAGAGGCAGUAACUGGUCUUUAUUUGACGGUAAUCAACCAGAAAGUCACGGCUAACUACGUGCCAGCAGCCGCGGUAAUACGUAGGUGGCAAGCGUUGUCCGGAUUUAUUGGGCAUAAAGCGAGCGCAGGCGGAAUGAUAAGUCUGAUGUGAAAGCCCACGGCUCAACCGUGGAACUGCAUCGGAAACUGUCAUUCUUGAGUGCAGAAGAGGAGAGUGGAACUCCAUGUGUAGCGGUGGAAUGCGUAGAUAUAUGGAAGAACACCAGUGGCGAAGGCGGCUCUCUGGUCUGCAACUGACGCUGAGGCUCGAAAGCAUGGGUAGCGAACAGGAUUAGAUACCCUGGUAGUCCAUGCCGUAAACGAUGAGCGCUAGGUGUUGGGGACUUUCCGGUUCUCAGUG
rnacentral:rRNA from 1 species